rnacentral:rRNA from 1 species
UACGUAGGGUGCAAGCGUUGUCCGGAAUUAUUGGGCGUAAAGAGCUCGUAGGCGGUUUGUCGCGUCUGCUGUGAAAACCCGAGCUCAACCUCGGGCCUGCAGUGGGUACGGGCAGACUAGAGUGCGGUAGGGGAGAUUGGAAUUCCUGGUGUAGCGGUGGAAUGCGCAGAUAUCAGGAGGAACACCAAUGGCGAAGGCGGUGGUCUGGGCCGGAACUGACGCUGAGGAGCGAAAGCGUGGGGAGCGAA